rnacentral:rRNA from 1 species
AGUGAACGCUGGCGGUAGGCCUAACACAUGCAAGUCGAACGGCAGCACAGUAAGAGCUUGCUCUUACGGGUGGCGAGUGGCGGACGGGUGAGGAAUACAUCGGAAUCUACUUUUUCGUGGGGGAUAACGUAGGGAAACUUACGCUAAUACCGCAUACGACCUACGGGUGAAAGCAGGGGAUCUUCGGACCUUGCGCGAUUGAAUGAGCCGAUGUCGGAUUAGCUAGUUGGCGGGGUAAAGGCCCACCAAGGCGACGAUCCGUAGCUGGUCUGAGAGGAUGAUAAGCCACACUGGAACUGAGACACGGUCCAGACUCCUACGGGAGGCAGCAGUGGGGAAUAUUGGACAAAGGGCGCAAGCCUGAUCCAGCCAUACCGCGUGGGUGAAGAAGGCCUUCGGGUUGUAAAGACCUUUUGUUGGGAAAGAAAAGCAGCAGGUUAAUACCCCGCUGUUCUGACGGUACCCAAAGAAUAAGCACCGGCUAACUUCGUG